rnacentral:rRNA from 1 species
UUUAAAUUGAGAGUUUGAUCCUGGCUCAGGACGAACGCUGGCGGCGUGCCUAACACAUGCAAGUCGAGCGGAGAAUGCGGAUAUGUUUACAUAGAAGCGUUCUUAGCGGCGGACGGGUGAGUAACACGUGGGUAACCUGCCUCAAAGUGGGGGAUAGCCUUCCGAAAGGAAGAUUAAUACCGCAUAA